rnacentral:rRNA from 1 species
UACGUAGGGGGCAAGCGUUGUCCGGAUUUAUUGGGCGUAAAGAGCGUGUAGGCGGCCAGGUAGGUCCGUUGUGAAAACUCGAGGCUCAACCUCGAGACGCCGAUGGAAACCACCUGGCUAGAGUCCGGAAGAGGAGAGUGGAAUUCCUGGUGUAGCGGUGAAAUGCGCAGAUAUCUGGAGGAACACCGGUGGCGAAGGCGGCAUCCUGGACCGGCAUUGACGCUGAGGCGCGAAAGCCAGGGGAGCAAACGGG